GUUUAGACGCAGUCGUCGUCAAUUCACUGUUUUUUUUUUUAUAUAAACUCCAAAUUUUAAAAGAGAUUUCUUUAAAUGGUAAUCAUCGAUGAAAGAGAGAGAAAUUGAACCUUUCCUGCCAAGUUUUACGUUUAUUAUUAACAAGCAUUUGGAAAAGUGGAUUGUCUAAAUAAUGUUAUGUACAAAAUUUAUGAGAUUUUGGGAAUUUGUCUAUGCAUUUACAAAAUACGUAGGUACUUGAACCCAAAAUUGGUUCUAAUUUUUAGGAAAGUUGAACCUGUCACUGCUUGGCCGCCAUCUACGUGAACUUUAGCUACUGUUUCAAAUUAUAAAGUUAUUGGGAAUUCACGAUUUUGUUACGUUUUUCAUACGAGAACAUCUUCAAUAUCAUUUUUUAGGAAAUUUAAAAAGACGUUAGGAAAUAUGAAGGGUUCUUGAUGACCAAUUUUUGGGACGAGAUGUUUAACUAAAAAUCGUGAUUGAAAGAAAAGCAUUUUUAGCAUUGAAAAAUGUGAACAUUAAUAUUGGUAGGUAUUCAAUUAUUUUCUUUUUUAAAUAGUAAUCCCAAAAUUUGUACGUUUCCUACGUCCCUGAUUAAAUUUGACGUAAAAUUAUGUCAUUUUAUGCAUUUGACAAAAAUUAUAACCUUGAAAUUAUUUUCGAUAUAAACCUCUGACAUAAGUUACUAACAAAAAUUUUAAUAAAAAAGGAUAGAAAUAUAUGCCUUAUCCACAUAAUACAAAAUUGGCUCAGUUUGACGUUCAGUGUCCCAACUCUCCCAAUAAAGGAACUCUAGACGUAGCCAGUUAGUAAACACCACGUACUGUCUUGGAAACAGGCGUAGUAAACAAUCAAAUAGAGUUCGAUCGUGCAAAAACUAUUUUACAUUUACUAUUGUUACAGCUACCGUCAAAGCCAAAAUGUUAAAAGUGACUUUGUUAUUGAAAAUCAAGUAUGCAGAACGUUUUCUGCAAAUGAGAGUUCCAAAUAGGAAAACGGUGGUGGUAAUAGGAUACAUACCACCAUCAUCACUAUCACCAGGAAAACUAAUAGUAGUGUAGCACAUCUUUUGCGUACAACUGGCUUAUAGUGAUACCAAGGAAUCAAAACGUAGGUAGAGGACGAUACGUGGAAUGGUUGGAAGUGAAAAUGUGCAUCCAGUUGAUGAAGAUCUUUACCAAGUAUUCGAGAAAUAGCUAGGGAAGUUGGUGUAAGUCGCUGGACGGUAUGAAGAACUUUGGAAGAACCUCUUCUUUGUCAGUACCACUUACAAAGCGUUCUGUUAUGUUCUUCUGUCUUUUGGUGUUUAUUUAUUUUGGUUUUCAUUAUUUUGUAGUUCACGAAUUUAUUAAAACUUAUUGUUUCAAUGCACAGUUUGAUAUAGAUAAAUAAAAAUCUUGAUUUUCGAAUGGUCUUUAGUGGAAAAUAAUAGUAAAUUUUAUAAAAGCUGCAGUCAUAAUUCAGUUCUUCACAAAGCCCUUUGCUUGCUUGCUUGCGUUGAUUAACGUAGCGACAAAUUAUUGACUAUUUCCGUAAAAAAUGAAAAUCUGGAAAGUUUUGAUGCAUUAUGCAGCGAAAUUUAAAAAACAGAAACGUGACACGCUUGACAUUGGUCGCGAAAGUUUUUGUUAAGUAACAAAACUUUUCUUAACAAAACGAUUACUUUUAUUCAUUAACUCAACAAUCAAAUUAUAUAGAAGCUCUCAAACAGUAGGGCUGAUUUUAAAUUAUUUAUUUUUGAGAAAACCAUUCAUGUAGGGAAGAAAUGGUAAAUAUAAAGGUUUUCGUUCCCAUUUUGCCUCAUAGACUCACCCUGAAAUUCUGGGGAGACCAUUCCCUAACACGCUGUAUACUUGUCAGUAGCAAUACAAAACGACAGUCAAAAUUCAAAAGAAAGAAUGAACAGUCAAAUAUGUUACCAUAAACAACAUAUUUAGAAAA